rnacentral:tRNA from 1 species
CCCUGUGGCUCAGUUCGUAGAGCAUGGUGUGUGCAACGCCAGGGUUGUGGGUUCAAUUCCCACAGGGG